AUGGCCUGGUCUGCUGUCCUGCUCAUGCUUCUGGCUCACUGCACAGGGAUUACUUCCCAGAAUGUGGUAACUCAAGAAACAUCACUAUCCAUUACUCCUGGGGGAACAAUCACAUUCACCUGUGGCUCCAGUGCUGGAGCUGUUAUCACCGGUAACUAUCCUGUUUGGGUUCAACAGAAGCCAUACCAGGUGCCACGGGGUGUAAUAAGUUCAACCAAUAGUAGGCCUUCAGGUAUCCCUGCCCGAUUCUCUGGCUCCCUGCAAGGAAACAAGGCUGCCCUGACCAUCACAGGAGCCCAGGCUGAGGAUGAGGCUGAGUAUUACUGUGCUCUGUGGUUCAGCAACCAUUUCCACAGUGACAAAUGCAGGUGGGGAAGUGUGACAUAA